CGCAUCUGUGCAUGCAGCAUAUCAAUAAGCGGAGGAAAAGAAACUAACAAGGAUUCCCCUAGUAACGGCGAGUGAAGCGGGAAGAGCUCAAAUUUGAAAUCUUAAAGGGUUUCCCUUUACGAAUUGUAGUUUAAAGAAGUGUUUUCUGUUGAGGUUUUGGUAAAAGUUCUUUGGAAUAGGACAUCAUAGAGGGUGAGAAUCCCGUAUUUGACCUUUACUUUCAACUUUGUGAUACACUUUCAAAGAGUCGGAUUGUUUGGGAAUGCAGUCCAAAAUGGGUGGUAAAUUUCAUCUAAAGCUAAAUAUUGGCGAGAGACCGAUAGCGAACAAGUACCGUGAGGGAAAGAUGAAAAGAACUUUGAAAAGAGAGUUAAACAGUACGUGAAAUUGUCAAAAGGGAAGCGUUUGACACCAGUGUUGUUUUUCUGAAAAUCAAUUAAAGAACUGUUUAUGCUAAGUUGUUUAGACUUUAUCAGCUAACUGUUUAGUUUUGAGCUUUUCUUUAAUGCACUUUUCAGUUAACAAGUCAACAUCAAUUUCUUUUGCUGUAAAAAAGCUAGAGGAAGGUGGCUUGAGAUUCGUCUUAAGUGUUUAUAGCCUCUUGCCUAUGCAGUCGGAUGAGAUUGAGGUCUGCAGCGUAGAUCCUUCGGGGCUAAAUGCAUUUGUGCUAAGUUAUAGCAUUUUAUAGACAACUUGUUGACUAUGAUUUGUCUUGUAGCUUACUCGCUUAUGUUAUUUUACCUACGCUUAGGAUGUUGAUAUGCAUGACUGAUAU
rnacentral:rRNA from 1 species